UACGGAGGGGGCUAGCGUUGUUCGGAAUUACUGGGCGUAAAGCGCACGUAGGCGGAUGCUUAAGUCGGGAGUGAAAGCCCGGGGCUCAACCCCGGAAGGGCAUUCGAAACUGGACGUCUGGAGGUCGGGAGAGGCGAGUGGAAGUACGUGUGUAGAGGUGAAAUGCGUAGAUAUUCGGAGGAACACCGGUGGCGAAGGCGGCUCCCUGGCCCAAUACUGACGCUGAGGCGCGAAGGCGUGGGGAGCAAACAGG
rnacentral:rRNA from 1 species